GAUGAACGCUGGCGGCGUGCUUAACACAUGCAAGUCGAACGAAGCACUUUAACCUGAUUCUUCGGAUGAAGGUUUUUGUGACUGAGUGGCGGACGGGUGAGUAACGCGUGGGUAACCUGCCUCAUACAGGGGGAUAACAGUUAGAAAUGACUGCUAAUACCGCAUAAGACCACAGAGCCGCAUGGCUCGGUGGGAAAAACUCCGGUGGUAUGAGAUGGACCCGCGUCUGAUUAGGUAGUUGGUGGGGUAACGGCCUACCAAGCCAACGAUCAGUAGCCGACCUGAGAGGGUGACCGGCCACAUUGGGACUGAGACACGGCCCAAACUCCUACGGGAGGCAGCAGUGGGGAAUAUUGCACAAUGGGGGAAACCCUGAUGCAGCGACGCCGCGUGAGCGAAGAAGUGUUUCGGUAUGUAAAGCUCUAUCAGCAGGGAAGAAAAUGACGGUACCUGACUAAGAAGCACCGGCUAAAUACGUGC
rnacentral:rRNA from 1 species